CCAGCUUGCUGGGGUACACGAGUGGCGAACGGGUGAGUAACACGUGGGUGACCUGCCCUGCACUUCGGGAUAAGCCUGGGAAACUGGGUCUAAUACCGGAUAGGACCGCACCGUGAGGGUGUGGUGGAAAGUUUUUUCGGUGUGGGAUGGGCCCGCGGCCUAUCAGCUUGUUGGUGGGGUAAUGGCCUACCAAGGCGGCGACGGGUAGCCGGCCUGAGAGGGUGGACGGCCACAUUGGGACUGAGACACGGCCCAGACUCCUACGGGAGGCAGCAGUGGGGAAUAUUGCACAAUGGGCGGAAGCCUGAUGCAGCGACGCCGCGUGGGGGAUGACGGCCUUCGGGUUGUAAACUCCUUUCACCAUCGACGAUGGGUUUCUGACGGUAGAUGGAGAAGAAGCACCGGCUAACUACGUGCCAGCAGCCGCGGUAAUACGUAGGGUGCGAGCGUUGUCCGGAAUUACUGGGCGUAAAGAGCUCGUAGGUGGUUUGUCGCGUCGUCUGUGAAAUUCCGGGGCUUAACUCCGGGCGUGCAGGCGAUACGGGCAUAACUUGAGUACUGUAGGGGAGACUGGAAUUCCUGGUGUAGCGGUGAAAUGCGCAGAUAUCAGGAGGAACACCGGUGGCGAAGGCGGGUCUCUGGGCAGUAACUGAC
rnacentral:rRNA from 1 species